CCAGUAAACGGCGGCCGUAACUAUAACGGUCCUAAGGUAGCGAAAUUCCUUGUCGGGUAAGUUCCGACCUGCACGAAUGGCGUAAUGAUGGCCAGGCUGUCUCCACCCGAGACUCAGUGAAAUUGAACUCGCUGUGAAGAUGCAGUGUACCCGCGGCAAGACGGAAAGACCCCGUGAACCUUUACUAUAGCUUGACACUGAACAUUGAGCCUUGAUGUGUAGGAUAGGUGGGAGGCUUUGAAGUGUGGACGCCAGUCUGCAUGGAGCCAACCUUGAAAUACCACCCUUUAACGU
rnacentral:rRNA from 1 species